rnacentral:rRNA from 1 species
AGAGUUUGAUCAUGGCUCAGGACGAACGCUGGCGGCGUGCUUAACACAUGCAAGUCGAACGAUGAUCAGGAGCUUGCUCCUGUGAUUAGUGGCGAACGGGUGAGUAACACGUGAGUAACCUGCCCCUGACUCUGGGAUAAGCGUUGGAAACGACGUCUAAUACUGGAUAUGACUGCCGGCCGCAUGGUCUGGUGGUGGAAAGAUUUUUUGGUUGGGGAUGGACUCGCGGCCUAUCAGCUUGUUGGUGAGGUAAUGGCUCACCAAGGCGACGACGGGUAGCCGGCCUGAGAGGGUGACCGGCCACACUGGGACUGAGACACGGCCCAGACUCCUACGGGAGGCAGCAGUGGGGAAUAUUGCACAAUGGGCGAAAGCCUGAUGCAGCAACGCCGCGUGAGGGAUGACGGCCUUCGGGUUGUAAACCUCUUUUAGUAGGGAAGAAGCGAAAGUGACGGUACCUGCAGAAAAAGCACCGGCUAACUACGUGCCAGCAGCCGCGGUAAUACGUAGGGUGCAAGCGUUGUCCGGAAUUAUUGGGCGUAAAGAGCUCGUAGGCGGUUUGUCGCGUCUGCUGUGAAAUCCCGAGGCUCAACCUCGGGCUUGCAGUGGGUACGGGCAGACUAGAGUGCGGUAGGGGAGAUUGGAAUUCCUGGUGUAGCGGUGGAAUGCGCAGAUAUCANGAGGAACACCGAUGGCGAAGCAGAUCUCUGGGCCGUAACUGACGCUGAGGAGCGAAAGCGUGGGGAGCGAACAGGAUUAGAUACCCUGGUAGUCCACGCCGUAAACGUUGGGCGCUAGAUGUAGGGACCUUUCCACGGGUUUCUGUUGUCGUAGCUAACGCAUUAAGCACCCCGCCUGGGGAGUACGGCCGCAAGGCUAAAACUCAAAGGAAUUGACGGGGGCCCGCACAAGCGGCGGAGCAUGCGGAUUAAUUCGAUGCAACGCGAAGAACCUUACCAAGGCUUGACAUACACCGGAAACGGCCAGAGAUGGUUGCCCCCUUGUGGUCGGUGUACAGGUGGUGCAUGGUUGUCGUCAGCUCGUGUCGUGAGAUGUUGGGUUAAGUCCCGCAACGAGCGCAACCCUCGUUCUAUGUUGCCAGCGCGUUAUGGCGGGGACUCAUAGGAGACUGCCGGGGUCAACUCGGAGGAAGGUGGGGAUGACGUCAAAUCAUCAUGCCCCUUAUGUCUUGGGCUUCACGCAUGCUACAAUGGCCGGUACAAAGGGCUGCGAUACCGUAAGGUGGAGCGAAUCCCAAAAAGCCGGUCUCAGUUCGGAUUGAGGUCUGCAACUCGACCUCAUGAAGUCGGAGUCGCUAGUAAUCGCAGAUCAGCAACGCUGCGGUGAAUACGUUCCCGGGCCUUGUACACACCGCCCGUCAAGUCAUGAAAGUCGGUAACACCCGAAGCCGGUGGCCUAACCCUUGUGGAAGGAGCCGUCGAAGGUGGGAUCGGUGAUUAGGACUAAGUCGUAACAAGGUAACCGUA